rnacentral:misc_RNA from 1 species
UUUCCGUAGGUGAACCUGCAGAAGGAUCAUUAUUGUAUAACCGAGGUGCGAGGGCUGUCGCUGACCCGAAAGGUCGUGCACGCCCGUGUGCCCUCACACACAUCCAUCUCACCCCUAUGUGCACCACCGCGUGGGUCCCCCUUUGGCUUGUUCGGAGGGGGGCUUACGUUUUCACACAAACUUUGUAUGCAGUGUAGAAUGUAUUUUUUGCUUUUGCGAUCACGCAAUCAAUACAACUUUCAACAACGGAUCUCUUGGCUCUC